UUGCGUUCGAGUGACCAUAGCUGUUGGCCGGAAGUUGUGCUUUCGUUGCUCGUCGUGUACGAGUAUCGUUUCACCUGUGAACACCGCAAGACCACGAUCGCGUUACUCGAGUCAUAUAUUGGUCACUGGUUAUACGUACUAGGUUCAGCUUACCAAUAAACUACUCACGGGGAGCAUUGUUUUAAAUUUUCAUAAUGUUGACGAAUUUUGUAAAAAUUUGAUUUUCAAAUACAUAAUAUUAUGUGAAAAGAAAAAAGUAGCCAAGUGAAUUCCACUCGGCUGAACGUUAGGUAUCAAUAAUAGCUAGUGAGUCACUAUAUUAUAAAUGUAUUAAAUUUUAAUUAAAUUAUGAUACAUUGCUACGUGCUUUGAUAUCUUAUGACCUAUAUUAUCAGGGCCAGAUUUAGAGGAGAGCUGGGUGGGCUGCAGUAAAAGGGGGUUAGGUUAGGCACAUUUCAGACGUGAUCCACCAGAGUUAGAACGAGCACCUUCACGUCACCCAGAUCAAUAGUUUUGUCAUUUGGACUUAGAAUAUUUUCACAAGUUUAAUUAAAUUAAUUAAUUGGACUAAGAAUAAUUUUUAAAUAAAAACACUUAGAAUAAU